rnacentral:rRNA from 1 species
CCUACGGGAGGCAGCAGUGGGGAAUUUUGGACAAUGGGCGCAAGCCUGAUCCAGCAAUGCCGCGUGAGUGAAGAAGGCCUUCGGGUUGUAAAGCUCUUUUGUCAGGGAAGAAACGGUGGGAGCUAAUAUCUCCUACUAAUGACGGUACCUGAAGAAUAAGCACCGGCUAACUACGUGCCAGCAGCCGCGGUAAUACGUAGGGUGCAAGCGUUAAUCGGAAUUACUGGGCGUAAAGCGUGCGCAGGCGGUUUUGUAAGUCUGUCGUGAAAGCCCCGGGCUCAACCUGGGAAUUGCGAUGGAGACUGCAAGGCUUGAAUCUGGCAGAGGGGGGUAGAAUUCCGCGUGUAGCAGUGAAAUGCGUAGAGAUGUGGAGGAACACCGAUGGCGAAGGCAGCCCCCUGGGUCAAGAUUGACGCUCAUGCACGAAAGCGUGGGGAGCAAACAGGAUUAGAUACCCUGGUAGUCCACGCCCUAAACGAUGUCUACUAGUUGUCGGGUUUUAAUUAACUUGGUAACGCAGCUAACGCGUGAAGUAGACCGCCUGGGGAGUACGGUCGCAAGAUUAAAACUCAAAGGAAUUGACGG